GUGAGACAUCUUUGAGGAAAAACUAAAAUCCAGUGGCCUUUUGAAAAAGGACUUUGGGGACCGCCGUGACCUGGAUGACGGAGAAUCUCCCUAGACCUUAAGAGAAGAGCCGCUGGAGGAAGCUAACCAAAACUUGCCUUGUUUGAAGGUUGUCAAGGAAAUGAACAAGCUUGGCCAGGAUCUCCAAGCAGCCCAACGCUCCUUGGAGAUGGACAUUAAAGCCCUCAAACAUCUGCUCUCCAAGCUAGGGAACCGGGAUCAGUCCGCGGCUGUGCUCCAUGCGAGCCAGGUCCAGCUGGCAACGUUGAAGCGACGCCUGGCAGGACCUGGCGCCCUGAAUGAGACGCUGGGCAUCUUGGUACAGGAAGCUGAGCAUCAGAGGGCAUCUCUGGAGGCCUUCGAACAAGAUCUAGAAGAGAUCCAGAGUGACCAGAAGAACUUAGAAGCCAUUCUUCAGAACUUGCCCAGCGGCUGUUAAGGGCUGAAAGGGAGACUGGCGCCGCCGGCAGAAUUGUGUAGAUUGAAGACUGGCAGUGAGGGAAUCAAUAUAGACCCUUUUUAAUAAUAAUUUUUUUAAAAAAGGAAAUGUUCCCAGAAUGCAAUGGGCAAGGGAGGCAGACUGAGACAUCUUUGUCAGGGACAGAGAAUAAUAGCUUGAGAAAACUAUCUUGGCUGCCGGACCAACCUUAAGAAUCAAACCCUGAAAUGGAGACAGUGCAGCCAUGAGGACGAGAAACCUGAAACAGCCAUUUUACGAGUCUUGGGGAAAUGAGCAUUGUGCUUUUUUUGGUCCAAGGAGUUUUGGACCCUGGUUGAGGGUGUGUGGGGAGGUGGGGAAACGAUGAUUCUAUGAUAUUGGCAGAGAUUUGAACCCUGAUGCAGAAAAAUUGAAAGUUGGAUGCCAGGAUCGGGAGUAAAUCGAGUGCAGGGAUGUAGAAUUUGGGAGUAAAAUCCAGUGAAAUGUGAAAUUUGUUUGUGACCCUUUCCAGUUCCUCAGAAGUUUGAGAAAUGUUUAGAGAGAAAUCCUCAUUUAAGGCAAGCUUUAAAAACAAAACAAAGCCGUCACUUAGCUGUGCAAUUGACUAGACCAACACGGUGGUGAAAUUGACCGCACCCAGGUUGUGAAAUUGACUUUGUGAAAUUGGCCCGUCCACAAUGGUGAAACUGGACCAGAACCGCGUCUGGGAAAUCGGCAUCCAAACAGAAGAUCCAAAAUUUGAUAUUUUCCCAUCCCUCGUCCUGAAAAGUACCACCUUCGCCAACCAAGACCCAAACCUGUGAUGUUCUUGGAUGCAACCUGCGGAAGGCUUCUCUCUCUCCCUGUUGAACGUUGGCCCGGCAAAUCCUCCUCGUAUUCAGCGAUCUGGAAUCCAUUAGCUUGCUGACACUAAAAGUGAUUUCAGCUUCAGAGAGAGAAACUCUGCAGUUACAUUCACCCAUAUAAUCGGGAAAGCUUUAUUCUGAAUUUUUAAGAAUGCAGGAUUUUGUACUGUACAGCUGUAUGUGUUAAUAUAUCUCUUUUCUUGACCCCAGCUUUUCAAUCCUGCUUUAAAACGGCAACGAGAUCUUAUAGCUGAUGAUGUGAACGUUUACAAAUAUCUUUGGGGGGUUUUUUCCUCCCCAGCCUGGGCAGGAAACUCUGGGAUUGUAUUCAUUAAGGAUCAGCAAAUGGGAUGCUAAAUCCUACACCCAGGAUGGAUUAUCCCCUUUACAUCCUCAUUCCCUGCAUGCAUAAAUCGAUCGAUUUACAUUUUAAAUAUUUAAAUGAGGCCUUUGGUGAAGCUCCCGUCACCUCGAAAGAACGAGAGGGAAAUUGCUCAGCAAGAAUACCAAGUGGCUCAAAUUAAUAGACAUCACCAGCCCUUUAAGAGUCAUUUCAGGCUGAGUUAAUAACCCCGUGUUUAGCUGUGAGCCAUGAUAGGGUUGGGUUGGCACGAUGCGGUAAUCCCUAAACUAUGAUUUAUAGGCUCCAAUGGGCGUCCUGACACGAACGAGACCAAAAAGAGAAAUUUAUAGCUUUGCAGGCAAUGACUUAACCACCACAACUGAGGCCCAGAUUUCUGCUGUUAAGCAAGACAGUUGUUAAGUGGGUUUAACAACCUUUCUUGCCACCGUUGUUAAGUGAAUCUCGCUUCCCCUUUGAUUUUGCUUGUCGGAAGGUCGCAAAAGGGGACCUCGGGACCCCCCUGGGAAACUGCGACUGUCGUAA
rnacentral:lncRNA from 1 species